rnacentral:rRNA from 1 species
AUUGAACGCUGGCGGCAGGCCUAACACAUGCAAGUCGAACGAGUGGCGGACGGGUGAGUAAUGUCUGGGAACCUGCCUGAUGGAGGGGGAUAACUCCUGGAAACGGUAGCUAAUACCGCAUACCAUCAGAUGUGCCCAGAUGGGAUUAGCUAGUAGGUGGGGUAACGGCUCACCUAGGCGACGAUCCCUAGAUGGUCUGAGAGGAUGACCAGCAACACUGGAACUGAGACACGGUCCAGACUCCUACGGGAGGCAGCAGUGGGGAAUAUUGCACAAUGGGCGCAAGCCUGAUGCAGACAUGCCGCGUGUAUGAAGAAGGCCGUCGGGUUGUAAAGUACUUUCAGCGGGGAGGCGUUACCCGCAGAAGAAGCACCGGCUAACUCCGUGCCAGCAGCCGCGGUAAGAC